CCUACGGGAGGCAGCAGUGGGAAAUAUUGCACAAUGGGGGAAACCCUGAUGCAGCCAUGCCGCGUGUGUGGAGAAGCCCUUCGGGUUGUAAAGCACUUUCAGCGAGGAGGAAAGGUUGGUAGCUAAUACCUGCCAGCUGUGACGUUACUCGCAGAAGAAGCACCCGCUAACUCCGUGCCAGCAGCCGCGGUAAUA
rnacentral:rRNA from 1 species